rnacentral:rRNA from 1 species
UACUCGAGUGGCGAACGGGUGAGUAACACGUGGGUGAUCUGCCCUGCACUCUGGGAUAAGCCUGGGAAACUGGGUCUAAUACCGGAUAGGACCAUGCUUUAGUGUGUGAGGUGGAAAGUUUUUUCGGUGUAGGAUGAGCCCGCGGCCUAUCAGCUUGUUGGUGGGGUAAUGGCCUACCAAGGCGGCGACGGGUAGCCGGACUGAGAGGUUGGUCGGCCACAUUGGGACUGAGAUACGGCCCAG